rnacentral:rRNA from 1 species
UUGAACGCUGGCGGCAUGCCUUACACAUGCAAGUCGAACGGCAGCACGGGAGCAAUCCUGGUGGCGAGUGGCGAACGGGUGAGUAAUAUAUCGGAACGUGCCCAGUAGUGGGGGAUAGCCCGGCGAAAGCCGGAUUAAUACCGCAUACGACCUGUGGGUGAAAGCGGGGGAUCGCAAGACCUCGCGCUAUUGGAGCGGCCGAUAUCAGAUUAGCUUGUUGGUGGGGUAAAAGCCCACCAAGGCGACGAUCUGUAGCUGGUCUGAGAGGACGACCAGCCACACUGGGACUGAGACACGGCCCAGACUCCUACGGGAGGCAGCAGUGGGGAAUUUUGGACAAUGGGCGCAAGCCUGAUCCAGCCAUGCCGCGUGUGGGAAGAAGGCCUUCGGGUUGUAAACCACUUUUGUCAGGGAAGAAACGGUCUGAUCUAAUACAUUGGGCUAAUGACGGUACCUGAAGAAUAAGCACCGGCUAACUACGU